UUAUAGUGACUUUGUUAUAUUUAAUUUCUAUAAAUAUUAUUUCUUGUAAAUGUAGUCUAAUUUUGGUUAGAUUUUAUGUUUUUUUUUCUACAACUAAUGCAAGAAGAUAUGUAUAUAUGUAUAUAUGUCAUACUUUGUAUUUUUCUUGAAUUGCAAAUCAAUAUGAUAAUAUUACCUCGGCCCCCCCAACCAAAAAUUUCUGGCUACGCCCCUGUCCACCACUUUUUCAAUUUCACCUUUAUACUAUAUACUCCAGCCAAGUUCAAAUAGAUUUUGUCAAAAAUGAUACACUUUCUUUAAUGCUCACGGUAGAUGCAGAUUGUUGAAAGGAUUUAUCUCUGAUUGCAAUGCCAAAGAAAAAGAUUGUUGAAAGGAUUUAUCUCUGAUUGCAAUGCCAAAGAAAAGGACUGGCGGGAUUUUUUUUUAAUCCAAAUGUCUUCCUGGGUGCUUAGCUUCUACAAGACUGAUUUACCUCUGACAGCUCAGGUUCUGGGAAGGAUUUAGGUAGUACAUGAGGGAGUUCGGUGAAUUGGAAAAUGUAAUAAUGGUGAAGGUACUGUGAACAAUUCCUGUAUUUGAUUAAGGAUACUGAAAUUUUUGGUUUCUGUGUUCAAUAUUCGUCCCCUGAUCAUGCAAAAUAAUUUUUUUUGCUAUUUAA